AAAAUCCGUCGACUUUAAAAAUCGUGAGGGUUCAAGUC
rnacentral:tRNA from 5 species